UUUAAAGGAGACUAAGAAACGUAUCCUUCAAAUACAGUGUAUGGAGCAUUUUAGGAUCCUUGUGUUAAAAUGCGCUUGGGAUUUGUUUUAAUCAAUCAUGGUGAGACAGGCAGACAUGGAAAUUAUUGUCAUGAAGGAAGAAGUUUAUACGCAGAUCCCACAAACGGGAGGCAUGGCAUGGCAUGCAGGGUCACGUAAAGAAGCACCUGGGUGUAUCAGGAGGCAGAGGGUGAGAGCACAGCAUGGCCCAGAGCUUUUAUUGGGGGUUUUCAUGGGAAGGAAUGGACAAGGCAGGGGUAGGCACACUGGUAAGCUUAGGAUUGAAUAGUUUGAGUAAUUUUGUUGGUCUCUGGGAUCUAGGGGGGAUUCGUAAUUGUCUAGUUAGGGCAGGGGAAUAUUGAAUUGGUGUAUGAGAGUUUGGUAAAGGAGAUAGUUGGGAGUAUGGGCUCUGGAUUGGUUGGUUUGUAUAUGAAAGGCAUGCUUGCAGUGGAGUUUAUCAUCUAUGCAUUAGCUUGCCCUGGGAGGGGCAGCCUAUCCAGGAUCAAGGCCCCAAGUGGCCAGAGCAUCAGGAAUACAGAAAAUAAAGAAAACAUAGUCAAUACAAGAUUUGAAGGAAUAAAAUGUCUCUACAUAUUGUACAAAUGUAAACAUGGAUUGGUUACUAAAUGAUACGAAAUAAUUUAUUGUUCAUAUGUUAGGCAUGACUAUGGCAUUAUGGGUAUAUGUGUAUGAGUCCUUAAGUGUUAGAGAUUCAUACUGAGGUAUUUAAGGCUGAAAUGUUAUGCCUGUGAUUUACUUUUAAAUACUUAAAAACAAAAGGUGGGAGGGAUAGAUGAAACAAGAUUAGCAAAAUGUUGGUAAAUGUUUAAUCUGGAUCAUUAGGUACACAGGGUUCAUUGUGCCGUUCUUACUAUCUUUACAUAUAUUUUAAAUUUUCCAUAAUAAAGUUUUUUAAAGUAGAAAAUCAAGUUUGGGCCAGGCGUGGUGGCUCAUGCCUGUAAUCGC
rnacentral:lncRNA from 1 species